UCAGUGCUCAUUUAAGUGAGCUGAGGAACAAUUCAGAUGGAUGGGUUUGGUCACUCUCCAGUGACAUCCAUGCAGUUUAUUACAUAAGCAGUUUACUGCAGUGAAGUCAUUACACUGCAUCCACAGAGCAGCCUCUGUUUGACUCCUCAGCUCCUGUUUAACCACUUCCCUCCAAACAGCAGCACAGGCAGUGACAAGCCAUUUGAUCCAGUGAUGCUGAGAGUCUUUGUGCAGAGGUCUGUAACGAAAUGGAAUGAUUUCCAGAGAUGUUGGUCGCAUUCUGAAUCCAAAACACAGCACUGUAACAGCUACUGGAAGAAAGGAACAGUAUGAUAGCUGAAAGGAGCAAGCCAUGACUCAAAAUCAUUUUGAUAGAUAGGCUUUACACUUGUGCUACUCAAGGAAGGACAGCAGAUUACAGAAAAUUUUAAUCACAGGGGGAGGCAAAAAACAUCAGCCCCCUUCCUAGUGCUGGCCAGGGUGGGCUUGCACUCCUGGGUUACACAGGGUGUUUGCACCACAACAUCCACGAGCAGUUUCCUCUCCCCACAGCUUGGAUCAGGACAGCAUUCCCACUGUGCCGGCAAUGCCUUUGGUAACUGGCAGCUUUGAGAGGCAGUAGAACUUGGACAGGGAACACCUGCAACUGUGCUGGGGAAAGGAAACACAACCUCUUCUGCACGCCCUGGGUUAUGGUUUCUUGGUUGUAGAUGGUGUUGUCAGAUUUUCCCACCAUACCCUAUCAACCUGUCUUGAUUCACCCAGGAUUUAAAAAGAUGACACUGUGACACAUCUGGAGGAAGAGCUAUAGGGACUAUAGGGAAGGAUCAGCUCUCUGCUCCCAGAACUGAAGCACUUCUUCCUGACACCAUUCCCAGAGUGUCCCUUAAGCCUUUCCUUUUCCAAGACAAUUUACACAAAGGACUGAGUGUCACUCACAGCUUCCCUCCUCCAUCUCCUGGACCACAACACACCUCAGAACCUGCAGGGCCUGCUGACAGUCCAGGUAAACAUAAGAGUAUGUUUCCAAUUUAUGUCUCUUUAUUUUUCCUCUUCUGAAAAUACAAGCUAAUGGAAAAAAUAUUUUUACACAUUAUUAAGGCACAUUAAUGAUAAAACUAGUAAGCAUUAGUUCCAGAAGGGCACAUUUUCUGUAAUGAUGAAGAACGAUGUAUAAAUUAACAUUACAGAGCUCCACAGGUCCAUUUCUGAGCCAACCAUGAUUAAAUUAACUACAAAAAGAUACUUGACACAACCAGUGCCACACUUGACUGAAUUUGGGAGUCAUGUAGGGAUCUCACUGAAAACCAGGAUGCUAAAUAAAUCCAUCUUAUAAUAGUGAUCAUGUUCAUGUGUAUUAUUUAAUACAGUGGAGUGCUUAUUCCAUUGUUAGCAUUUCACAAAAUGCUACCAAAAGAAAAUAAAUUGUGCCUUCACCUCCAUCCACCACUCUGCUAAUAAACUGGAGUUUUUCCCAAAUGCAUGGCCUUGGAACAAUAAAUACUUAAGCUUUUCACAGAACCUUUUUUUAAGAAGGCAUAGCAUGUUUUAGAGAUUCCAGCUAUCACUUAACACAUAUUAAUUUGACUCAUCAGAUACUCGUAUUUCACCAUCUGAUCUGGAAGCCAGUUAAUCAAUUAACUGGUUUAUUCCUCUAUAUUCCAGUACAUUUUACUGAAUUCAGUAAAUGACUAUCAAUUCAUUUUGUUAACAGGCUGGUUUCUUCAUUUGGCUUAAUUUAAUUUGAUUUCACUGUAACAGCUGACAUAUGAGGAUAUUACAAAAAAACCAGGGUACUUCUGCACAAAAGCAACUUCUUGGAAGCAGGAUAAAGAUAUUCAGAGAGCUAUGCUUUCUGCUUAAUUUUUUUGCCUCUAAAAAAACAAAGCUACUUGAAAGAAGAAAGUUAAGAGUAAGUUAAUUGCUUAACAAACCAUAAAAAAACAUAGAAAAGAACUAAAAAGAGAAUAGGGACACUCAAACUAGUGAAAAUUCAGGACUAUUUUUAAUAAUUGGAGUUCUUAGGGGCAUAAGAAUUAUAUAUCAGUUUAAAAGCAUGAGUAGUGUUUUGAACUUUACAGCAAAAAAAAAAAAAAUAUGUUUCAAUUCUUUUCUCCCCUGAAAAGAUAAUUUCCCCUCAAAGGCCACAAGCUUCCCAUAACAUGCUUUCAGAACUACAGAACUGAACUGAGAGUUGAAAACUUUCAUUUAUAGAGCAAAAGGCUCAA